UGACCCCUUCACUAAGCCCCGCCCUCCUUAGAUACCGUCGUUAAGUCCGUUCACCCUCCCCGCUCUAGAAAGUUACAUAUUUACAGUGUUAACGUUUGCAGGUUAUUCGCUUUAAAUAUGAGAUAAUAUUGAAACAAUGAAUUCAUGAUUUCAGACAGAAGUAGGGAAAAGCAGCUUCUCUUUUUUAGUUUGCAACCGUCAAUUUUACCAGCUGAAAUGCCUUGUAGCUAGCUAGCUAGCUAGCUAUCAACGCCAUGAGUUUGCUGAAAACUGGGACCAGGGAGCUAACGCCAGCCUGCAGUCUGAUACAGCGGCAUCAUGGACAGACAGUUCAUCUGCUGAGGGGAUGGAUGGCUGCCAUACGGCAAUCACCAGGCAUUCAGUGAUGGUGGAUCAACUGUGAUUCUGGUUUUAGUCAACAUGGACGAGAAGUCCUAAAGAGCCACUGAGGAAAUCAAAGCAGCUACUGAGCCAUUAUGUCAACAAAUCCAUCUCCAUGACAACUGAGCAAACUCCAUCCACUGAUGAAGACUGCGCGAUGAAGCUGAAAGCACAAAAGUAGUAAGUGGACCUUGAGUUGUUACUGUUUUGAAACCUGCUCUUUCUGAUAUCAAAAAUGAACCUUGUGCUUAACCCUACAUACUGUUAGGAGUUUCAUCUAUAACGUUUGCUCAGUAUUUUACAAACUGAUCAUAAAAUCUCAAUAACCAAAGUAACUCUGGACUCGACCUAAAAAAGUACUGAAUCUCCCUCAGAAAUGUGUACGUAUUAAGUAGCAUAGAACGGAAAUACUAAAUGGAAAAUGAGUAAGUAAUUUAGUUAAUCCAAGUGUCUCAAUACA